rnacentral:misc_RNA from 1 species
UGGUUCUCGCAUCGAUGAAGAACGCAGCGAAAUGCGAUAAGUAAUGUGAAUUGCAGAAUUCAGUGAAUCAUCGAAUCUUUGAACGCACCUUGCGCUCCUUGGCAUUCCGAGGAGCAUGCCUGUUUGAGUGUCAUGUUAACUCUCAACCCCUCGGGGUUGGACUUUGGACGUUGCGGGAGCCGCUUCCGCUCGUCUCAAAAGCAUUAGCGGGGUUCGGGCACCGACCCAUUGCUGGCGUUUAGUAAUGCUUGCGCCGCGCGGGGUUUCACCGCCUUUUCCCGCUCACCAGCGGACGCCACGGCGUCGAACUUGACUUCUGGCCUCAAAUCAGGUAGGAUUACCCGCCGA